rnacentral:rRNA from 1 species
AUGGAGAAGAAGCAAGAAAGGAAGGGCAACGACAGCGGAAGUGGAUCGAUCCAGCAGAUCCCGGAGGAGUGCCUGGCCAAGGCCAUCGGCCUGACAUCGCCCGCGGACGCCUGCCGGGCCGGGGCGGUGUCGGCCGCCUUCCGGUCGGCGGCGGACUCGGACGCCGCGUGGGAGGGCUUCCUGCCGCCGGACUGCGACGCGAUCCUCGAGCGGGCCGUCCACCUCGUGGAUUUCUCGUCCAAGAAGGAGCUCUUCCACGACCUCAGCGACGAGCAUGUCCUCCUCGACGAUGGCAAAAGGAGCUUUGGGCUCCACAGAUCGAGUGGCGCCAAAUGCUACAUGCUGUCUGCGAGCGUGCUGGAAAUUGCUUGGGUUGGUGUGGAUCUUUACUGGACAAAGAGGUCCGACCCAGAUUCAAGGUUCUCCAAGGUGGCUGAGCUUGUGGCGGUGUGCUUGUUUCACAUCCAUGGCAUCAUCAGCACCAAGGAGCUCUCUCCUGGUACCCACUAUGCGGCGUACCUUGUCUUCAAGCUCACCCACCAUGCCUCCGGCCUUAACUCUCCAUGCCAGCGAUCGCGCGUCGACAUAGGCGAGCAACUGGUGCGGAGCGCCCAUAGGGUGUCUCUCCACCCCUGCAAUCGUGCUUGUUCCGCUGGUAAUGACCAAAUGUCGAUGAUGAAUGGUGGCACAAAGUUGCACGAGCACGAGGAUGAAGAAGGAGGCGGUGCCAUCAGGUACCCAUGCCCACGGACCGAUGGCUGGCUGGAGCUGGAGAUGGGCGACUUCCACACAUCCACAAGCGUUGAUGAUGCAGAUGUUUACAUGGAGCUGCGGGAGUCCGAGGAGCUGCAAUGGAAGAAGGGACUAAUCAUCGAAGGAAUUGAAAUAAGGCCCAAGAACUAA